GUCAGGGUAGCUCAGCUGGUAGAGC
rnacentral:tRNA from 1 species